AACGAACGCUGGCGGCAGGCUUAACACAUGCAAGUCGAGCGCCCCGCAAGGGGAGCGGCAGACGGGUGAGUAACGCGUGGGAAUCUACCGUGCCCUAAGGAAUAGCUCCGGGAAACUGGAAUUAAUACCUUAUACGCCCUUCGGGGGAAAGAUUUAUCGGGGUAUGAUGAGCCCGCGUUGGAUUAGCUAGUUGGUGGGGU
rnacentral:rRNA from 1 species